GACGAACGCUGGCGGCGUGCCUAAUACAUGCAAGUUGAGCGAUGAAGAUUGGUGCUUGCACCAAUUUGAAGAGCAGCGAACGGGUGAGUAACGCGUGGGGAAUCUGCCUCUGAGCGGGGGACAACAUUUGGAAACGAAUGCUAAUACCGCAUAACAACUUUAAACAUAAGUUUUAAGUUUGAAAGAUGCAAUUGCAUCACUCAAAGAUGAUCCCGCGUUGUAUUAGCUAGUUGGUGAGGUAAAGGCUCACCAAGGCGAUGAUACAUAGCCGACCUGAGAGGGUGAUCGGCCACAUUGGGACUGAGACACGGCCCAAACUCCUACGGGAGGCAGCAGUAGGGAAUCUUCGGCAAUGGACGAAAGUCUGACCGAGCAACGCCGCGUGAGUGAAGAAGGGUUUCGGAUCGUAAAACUCUGUUGGUAGAGAAGAACGUUGGUGAGAGUGGAAAGCUCAUCAAGUGACGGUAACUACCCAGAAAGGGACGGCUAACUACGUG
rnacentral:rRNA from 1 species